rnacentral:sRNA from 1 species
CCCUGAAAUCACUCACAUUGUAAUAAAGGAGUCUGUGGUCAGCAUUAACAAGCAGGACAACAAGAAAAUGGAACUGAAGCUCUCUUCCCACGAGGAGGCCUUGUCCUUUGUGUCCCUGGUAGAUGGCUACUUCCGGCUCACAGCAGACGCCCAUCAUUACCUCUGCACCGACGUGGCCCCCCCGUUGAUCGUCCACAACAUACAGAAUGGCUGUCAUGGUCCAAUCUGGUUGGUCCUAGAACCUUAUCAGUUGCCUUUGGUGUGCAGAGGGCCCAUGUUUUAGUGAUGGGGCAUGUCAUCAUUGUUUAGGUCAGGCCAGUUGACCAUGCUGCCUGGUACUUGUUGGCUGUCCUCCUUUCCUCCCUGCUGUCCAAGCUCUGGUCAGGCCUUCCUGUAAUCUCCUGCCAUCCUCUUUGCAGCAGCCCCUCAAUGCUGCUUCUUUACUUGGAUCUCUCUUCAUAGUUUAACCCCCUCACCUCUCCAUAGCUGAUCAAGAAGUACUACACUUUCUGAUUUCUUGCUGUGUCAAACAAUGUGGGCAAUUCAAGAAACACUGAACACAGCUGAGCGUGCUGCCAUGUGCCUGUGGUUUCAGCUCCUUGAGAGGCUGAGGUGGGAGGAUCACUUGAGCCCAGGAGUUCAAUUCUAGCCUGGGCAACAUAGCAAUAUCCCAUCUCUAAAAUAUAUAAAA